rnacentral:piRNA from 1 species
UAGGUUCUUAUUCUAGGUGGCCACAAAAU